rnacentral:rRNA from 1 species
AUUGAACGCUGGCGGCAGGCCUAACACAUGCAAGUCGAACGAGUGGCGGACGGGUGAGUAACGUCUGGGAAACUGCCUGAUGGAGGGGGAUAACUACUGGAAACGGUAGCUAAUACCGCAUACCAUCAGAUGUGCCCAGCUGUGAUUAGCUAGUUGGUGGGUUAACGGCUCACCAAGGCGAGGUUCCCUAGCUGGUCUGAGAGGAUGACCAGCCACACUGGAACUGAUACACGGUCCAGACUCCGACGGGAGGCAGCAGUGGGGAAUAUUGCACAAGGGGCGCAAGCCUGAUGCAGCCAUGCCGCGUGUAUGAAGAAGGCCGUCGGGUUGUAAAGUACUUUCAGCGGGGAGGCGUUACCCGCAGAAGAAGCACCGGCUAACUCCGUGCCAGCCGCCGCGGUAAUUC